rnacentral:rRNA from 1 species
UUAGGAAUCUUCCACAAUGGGCGAAAGCCUGAUGGAGCGACGCCGCGUGAGGGAUGAAGGCCUUAGGGUUGUAAACCUCUAAAAGAGGGACGAUAAUGACGGUACCUCUUGAAUAGCACCGGCUAACUCCGUGCCAGCAGCCGCGGUAAUACGGAGGGUGCAAGCGUUAUCCGGAAUCACUGGGCGUAAAGGGCGCGUAGGCGGGCUGUUAAGUCCGAUGUUAAAUCCCGGGGCUCAACCCCGGAUAAGCGUUGGAUACUGGCAGGCUAGACGGUGGGAGAGGCGAGUGGAAUUACCAGUGUAGCGGUGGAAUGCGUAGAUACUGGUAGGAACACCCAUUGCGAAGGCAGCUCGCUGGACAACACGUGACGCUGAGGCGCGAAAGUGUGGGGAGCAAACC